UACGUAGGGCGCAAGCGUUAUCCGGAAUUAUUGGGCGUAAAGAGCGUGUAGGCGGCCAGAUAGGUCCGUUGUGAAAACUCGAGGCUCAACCUCGAGACGCCGAUGGAAACCAUCUGGCUAGAGUCCGGAAGAGGAGAGUGGGAAUUCCUGGUGUAGCGGUGAAAUGCGCAGAUAUCAGGGAAGAACACCCCGUGGCUAAGGCGGCUCUCUAGUACGGUACUGACGCUGAGACGCGAAAGCGUGGGGAGCGAACAGG
rnacentral:rRNA from 1 species